rnacentral:rRNA from 1 species
CCUACGGUGUGCAGCAGUGAGGAAUAUUGGUCAAUGGGCUUACGCCUGAACCAGCCAAGUCGCGUGAGGGAAGACUGCCCUAUGGGUUGUAAACCUCUUUUGUCAGGGAGCAAUUGGCGCUACGUGUAGCGUUCUCGAGAGUACCUGAAGAAAAAGCAACGGCUAACUCCUUGCCAGACGCCGCGGUAAUACGGAGGAUGCGAGCGGUAUCCGGAUUUAUGGGGUUGAAAGGGUGCGUAGGCGGAAUGCCAAGUCAGCGGUAAAAUCGCGGGGCUCAACCUCGCUCCGCCGUUGAAACUGGCGGUCUUGAGUGGGCGAGAAGUAUGCGGAAUGCGUGGUGUAGCGGUGAAAUGCAUAGAUAUCGCGCAGAACUCCGAUUGCGAAGGCAGCAUACCGGCGCCCAACUGACGCUGAAGCACGAAAGCGUGGGUAUCGAACAGGAUUAGAUACCCUUGUAGUC